UACGUAGGGGGCAAGCGUUGUCCGGAAUUAUUGGGCGUAAAGAGCACGUAGGCGGUAAUAUAAGUUGGAUGUGAAAGGCUACGGCUCAACCGUAGAGCUGCAUCCAAAACUGUAUCACUUGAGUGCAGAAGAGGAGAGUGGAAUUCCCGGUGUAGCGGUGGAAUGCGUAGAGAUCGGGAGGAACACCAGUGGCGAAGGCGACUCUCUGGUCUGUAACUGACGCUGAGGUGCGAAAGAGUGGGGAGCGAACAGG
rnacentral:rRNA from 1 species